rnacentral:rRNA from 1 species
AUUGAACGCUGGCGGCAGGCCUAACACAUGCAAGUCGAGCGGAGCGGCGGACGGGUGAGUAAUGCCUAGGAAUCUGCCUGGUAGUGGGGGAUCACGUCCGGAAACGGGCGCCAAUACCGCAUACUAUCAGAUGAGCCCAGGGCGGUUUAGCUUGUUGGUGGGGUAAAGGUCUACCAGGGCGACGAUCCGUAACUGGUCUGAGUGGAUGAUCAGUCAACCGAGAACUGAGACACGGUCCAGACUCCUCCGGGAGGCAGCAGUGGGGCAUAUUGGACAAUGUGCGAAAGCCUGAUCCAGCCAUGCCGCGUGUGUGAAGAAGGUCUGCGGAUUGUAGAGCACUUUAAGUUGGGAGGCGUUACCAGCCGAAUAAGCACCGGCUAACUUCGUGCCAGCAGCCGCGGUAAGAC